rnacentral:rRNA from 1 species
UACGUAGGCAGCGAGCGUUGUUCGGAGUUACUGGGCGUAAAGCGCGUGUAGGUGGGUCGUUAAGUGUCCGCGUGAAAUCCCACGGCUCAACCGUGGAACUGCCGGGCAUACUGGCGAUCUUGAGGCAUUCAGGGGCGAGCGGAACAAAUGGUGGAGCGGUGAAAUGCGUAGAUAUCAUUUGGAACGCCAAUGGUGAAAACAGCUCGCUGGGAAUGAUCUGACACUGAGACGCGAAAGCCAGGGGAGCGAACGGG